ensembl:lncRNA
ACAACACAGACAGCUGUAGUUUCAAUGAAGAACAUUUUUGAACCAGGUAUGGCUUAUGUUGCUCUCAGCAGGGUGACGUCUCUCAGUGGACUCUAUUUGCAGGACUUGGAUGAGAAAAAGAUUUACGCCAAUCCUGAGGUAACUGCAGCGCUCAAACCAUGAGACAAGCCAGUGUUGAGGAAAUGAUGCCUCUUCUUCAGGUCAGAGAAACAGCCAACAGACUUGACACUCUUACACUGAUCCAUCACAAUACGGAGGGUUUGCCAUCUCACAUCAGUGACAUCAAGAGUCAUCAUGAAAUGUGUUUAGCAGAUGUUUUGUGUCUCACUGAGUCUCACCUCCAAGGCUCCUUUGUUGCAGACAGUCUUCAUUUGGACGGCUACACCAUGUUCAAACGCAACAGACAUGUGUCCUACACAAACUUUCCUCACAUGGCCAGCAGAAGUGGUGGUGGAGUUGUUGUGUAUUUGAGGAAUCAUUUUCAGGUUCAGGUAAAACAGUAUCUGCAUAAUGUCACUGAUCUUGAGUUUUUAGUGUUGAAGGUUCAGGCUCCAUUCCCUGCGCUCAUUGCUGUUGUGUACAGACCUCCAGACUACAGUUUGACACCGUUCAUGCAAAACCUGGUAAGUCUUUUAGAUUCACUUGAAAUAAUGGACUGUCACCCAAUAAUUGUGUGUGGAGAUUUUAAUGAGAACCAGUUACAGAGUGGAAGAAAACAGAUUCUGGAGCAGUUUCAGUCGAGAGGGUAUUCACAGCUGAUCACUUCUGCCACUACAGACAAGAACACCUUGCUUGACCUCAUUUUUAUUUCUCAGCCACAGCAAAGUCUUCAUUCAGGUGUCCUGAGAACAUAUUACAGUUACCACAACCCUGUGUUUUGUGUCCUGUCCUUGAGCCAAUCAUGAAGUCGUCUGACAGGGCACAGUCUCCUUUGUGGCAAAACCUUCAAACUUCACCAUCCUCAGCUGAAACAACAACAUCUUAACCCCAUCUUCAUGAACUGCUGAGCCAAACCUGAUCCAUCAGUGCUGGACUGCACAGAUAACUACAUGCCACAAGGAGACUGCUGUGUUAUGAACUGCCAUACCAGUGUGUCUUCAAUGGAGAAGAUGACACACCCAUCACCUGACCUCCUGCCUGAUCUGGAGACCAUCAUCAUGCUGCCACACUACACACCUCUGAGACCAUCAAUGAUGACUCAUACUGAGGAAACUGUAUUUCCUGUCAGAGAUGCUCAGUGAUCCUCAGAGCAGAGAGAGGUAUUGCUGUCUUCUGAGUUCUUCAGUGUCCCAACUGAGACAUUCAAACCUCAUUGCAGAGCUCAUGUCUUUCCUCACCAUCAUGUGAGUGUGAGAUUGCUCUGGAUUCUGGUUAUGUGGCCUGCAGCACCUAUAAG